UACGUAGGGGGCUAGCGUUGUCCGGAAUCAUUGGGCGUAAAGAGCGUGUAGGCGGCCCGGUAAGUCCGCUGUGAAAGUCGGGGGCUCAACCCUCGAAUGCCGGUGGAUACUGUCAGGCUAGAGUGCGGAAGAGGCGAGUGGAAUUCCUGGUGUAGCGGUGAAAUGCGCAGAUAUCAGGAGGAACACCGAUUGCGAAGGCAGCUCGCUGGGACGUCACUGACGCUGAGACGCGAAAGCGUGGGGAGCAAACAGG
rnacentral:rRNA from 1 species